CUACGGGCUGCUGCAGUGGGGAAUAUUGCACAAUGGGCGCAAGCCUGAUGCAGCAACGCCGCGUGAACGAUGAAGGUCUUCGGAUCGUAAAGUUCUUUUCUUAGGGAAGAAAAGUGACAGUACCUAAGGAAUAAGCACCGGCUAAAUACGUGCCAGCAGCCGCGGUAAUACGUAUGGUGCAAGCGUUAUCCGGAAUCACUGGGCGUAAAGGGAGCGUAGGCGGUUUUGCAAGUCAGAAGUGAAAGGCUACGGCUCAACCGUGGUAAGCUUUUGAAACUGCAAGACUAGAGUGCAGGAGAGGCAAGUGGAAUUCCUAGUGUAGAGGUGAAAUUCGUAGAUAUUAGGAGGAACACCAGUGGCGAAGGCGACUUGCUGGACUGUAACUGACGCUGAGGCUCGAAAGCGUGGGGAGCGAACAGGAUUAGAUACCCGAGUAGUC
rnacentral:rRNA from 1 species